GUGCUGUGGGCGCCCCUGCCUCGUGGGUGGCCAGGCUGGGCCCAAGCUGUGUGGGAUGAGGGAAAGCUGCCCAGCCCAGCCCAGCCCAGCCCAGCCCGGCCCUGGCCCGCAGGUGUGUGUGACAAGCACCCAGGCACAGGGCCCUGGCUCGGGCGGGGCAGGGACAGCAGGGCUCAGCUGAGGCAGAUGCCCCUGUGUGGUGGCACAGCAGAGACACAGUGGUAUGGGGCUGCAGAGGACAGAGAGGGCAGUGUGAGGGCAUCACUGGGAGGGCAGCACCCACCCCAGCGGGUCCCUUUGGCCCACACGAGCCUGCUCCAGAUCCCGUAGUCGGUGCUCCCCAGUGGCAACGCUCAUCUCACGGCAGGCUUGUCGGGAGAUGUCUAUCAGCUGUGCAGCAGGUGGUCACAGUGAUCCAGGAAGUCACCUGGGAGGUCUCAGCGGACAGCCUGGAGGACAGGAGACUUGAACAGGCCCAAUUGGUGACAGGGGAUGGAUUUGGAACAAGGGCAGAACAAGUGGCAGCAGUGAAUGUUGGGCUGGGUGUGGACACCUGCUCCGGUCCCAGGGUCAUGUCACACAGCAGAUUGGUCUGCAGGGCUACACCCAGGGACCCUGGGCAGGCUACCAACAAGCCAGACCUGCAUGCAGAGCUCAUUGAUGAAGGCCAGGCCUGAAGGACAAUGCUCCAAAGAUGCCUGCAACCUGGGCCUCAGGACUGGAGAGUGUGGAAGUUCAUGGAGCAGGUGUUCACCGAGUUCAGGGAUACAAGACAGAAGACUUGUCCAGCUUUUCCUAGAGAUCCCAGGCCAUCUCGAGUUUCCCAUCAGUGUCAAGCAGAGCCUGGGAGGUGUUUACUAUGGGCUGCAAGGAUGGAGGAUGGACAGCUCUUCAAGCAGCAGUGUGGUGGCCUCAUCAUCUCAGGAAGCCCAGGACCUUGGCAGGGUUGGGGGAGGCAGGAGUGGCCAGGCUUUGCCAGGCCCAGGAGACUUGGUUCCUGUAGUGUGGCCUAGGGCCAGUGAGGGUGCAGGGUGAGACCUGCUGUCCCUGGCCACAUGAGCUCCAAAUGCUAAAUGGCAUUGUUCUCAGCCUCAGGAGACCAAGGCAAGCCAUCCACGUCUGACCCAGAGAAUAGUAGAGGGGAGGGAUGGUGCCCUCUGAAGGACCCCAGGGCAGUUAACACUGAUUCUGAGGUUUAGCAACAGAUUGAUCCUUGAAUAAAGAAUGAACUAAGUCA